UGUUCUAUGGCUUAGUUGGCUAUAGCGCCGGUCUAGCAAAUACGAAAUCGUGGGAUCAAAUCCCACCAGAGCGC
rfam:Aedes albopictus isolate Foshan contig29554, whole genome shotgun sequence.